AGACGUCUACAUUAGAUACCCCCGUAGUCCCAGCCGUAAACAAUGUGCGUUAGGUGUGUCGGUAACCACGUGUUACUGAUGCGCCGAAGAGAAAUCGUGAAACGCACCACCUGGGAAGUACGGUCGCAAGGCUGAAACUUAAAGGAAUUGGCGGGGAGCACCACAACAGGUGGAGCCUGCGGUUUAAUUGGAUUCAACGCCGGGAAGCUCACCGGAUAGGACAGCAGAAUGAUUGCCGGGCUGAAGACUCUGCAUGACUAGCUG
rnacentral:rRNA from 1 species